GUGGGGAAUAUUGGACAAUGGGCGAAAGCCUGAUCCAGCCAUGCCGCGUGUGUGAAGAAGGUCUUCGGAUUGUAAAGCACUUUAAGUUGGGAGGAAGGGCAGUAAGCUAAUACCUUGCUGUUUUGACGUUACCGACAGAAUAAGCACCGGCUAACUCUGUGCCAGCAGCCGCGGUAAUACAGAGGGUGCAAGCGUUAAUCGGAAUUACUGGGCGUAAAGCGCGCGUAGGUGGUUCGUUAAGUUGGAUGUGAAAGCCCCGGGCUCAACCUGGGAACUGCAUCCAAAACUGGCGAGCUAGAGUACGGUAGAGGGUGGUGGAAUUUCCUGUGUAGCGGUGAAAUGCGUAGAUAUAGGAAGGAACACCAGUGGCGAAGGCGACCACCUGGACUGAUACUGACACUGAGGUGCGAAAGCGUGGGGAGCAAACAGGAUUAGAAACCCUGGUAGUCC
rnacentral:rRNA from 1 species